UUCCAAAUGUACAGCGUUUCAAGUGAAUGAUAAUUGCAGUCAAAGUAAACAGCAGCCAAAGAGAGAAGCUUCCACACUCAAGUUGGAUACAGCUGGAUCAAUUUCCCUCAUCAGACAUGUUGGCUCAGGAUCUCACAGAACUGAGGAAGAAAAAGAAAAAGAAGAAGAAGGAGGGGGAAAAAACAGCCCCGGGGCUGGAGGACGAUAUUGUAUGCAUGUGCACUCAAGCACAAGGUUUGCGACACUCGGAGCGCCGUGACUGUUUUCAUCAAAAGAACACUUGCCUCCUUUGGAGACUCGCCCUUGCGUGGGAAGAUUUGCGGCAGGAAACGACCGCAACACAAUCUGCUGGAGCCCUCGAAACCGAGCUGCAGAAUGCAUUAUUCAAAAGGCAGCAGGCAAUCGAUACCAAGAAAUGUAACGAAAUGGGAGGGGGAGAGAUCCAGAGAGAUGGAGAGGGGGAGAGGAAGAGAGAGUAGAAGGCAUCCAAACUUCCCUGGCUAUGUCCGUCAGCAGCAGUCGUAAGUAUUAACUACUAAUCCCGGUGUGAGUUUCCCCAUCUCAACAAGGAACUUUGGCAUAGCUCACUAAUCCCCCGGAGGAGUUAAAUCCAGGACGAGCAUCAUCAAUCUUUA
ensembl:lncRNA